CGUCAGUCAUUUGAACGUGGCCUGUCAGGCUUAUAGAGGUGGGGCUUUGUUCCAGUUGUUCGUCAACCUCCUUUUCUCUCCCGUUUUCCCCUUUAGGUGUUGUCGUCUGUGGUGUUCUCAUCCCUAAGUGAGGUAUAUAGUCAGUGCGUUUCAGUCUGAUGUUCAUGUUUUCUUGCGUAUGAGGGUAUUUGGGGUGUGGCAUGUAGCGUAGGUUUGUGGCGGGAGCCGCGUCGCC